CUUCCAUUAAUUCCUCAUUUCUGGGGUGUCAGAGUCUCUGUUGUGGUGUGGUGUGCAUCGAACAAGCUAUCUUCUCUUCUGUGUGUCUCAGAUCAAUCUAUCAUCCGAAUGGAUUUUCCAGAGGAGCCAGACUCCACUCAGGGAGGCCACAUUAUCUGAGGUCAUUACUCACUGGGUGUGAACAGCUUCAUAAUCCGGUCCUUGCUGAGGUGAAGUGGGGCUCAGUCCCAGUCUAACCUGGCUCAAGAAGAAAACUAGACAGAGCUCAGUGUACAGCAUCCAAGCCAACCUGGUAUGCCAACUGCCAAGGAGAAGAUCGCACCCCUGGCUGUGUGUCAGCUUUGGCUUAGGACCUGAUCACACCAGGGUUGAGACCACAUGAGAAGACAGAAUACCAGUCACAGCCACCAUUAACCAGUAGUAUCACAAAGGCCAUUCACACAGGGAAUGCCAUCCUGGUCCUCUUGAUCUGGGCAGACUCUCGCCUCCGCACCCCAAUGUACAUACUACUCAGUCAGCUCUCUUCUCUCUUAUGGACUUGGCCUUAAUUUCCGCCACUUCCCCGAAGAUGGUCAUCAACUUUUUCUCCAGAAAGAAAAGCAUCUCCAAAGUUGCCUGUGGGUCCCAGAUUUUCUGCUUCUUUGCCCUUGGUGGUCGUGAGUGUCUCCUUCUGACCCUCAUGGCUUACGACCGCUAUGUGGCUGUCUGUCAUCCCUUGAGAUAUUCAAUUAUCAUGAACAAUAGAGUCUGUCUGUGGAUGGCCCUCAUGUCCUGGGGUGGAGGUGCCCUGAAUUCUCUCAUCAACACCUUCUACAUCAUGCACUUCCCAUUCUGUGGCUCCAGGGAAAUCCACCACUUCUUCUCUGAGCUGUCCACUGUCCUGAGGCUCUCUUGUGAGGAAAACUUCUUUAUAUGAGAUGGUGGUGUCUGUCAAUUGCAUCGUGUUUGUUCUUCUCCCCUUGGGACUCAUCACAUCCUCCUAUCUGCUCAUCUUCCUCGAUGUUCUCCGAAUAAAUUCUCCAGAGGGCAGGAGGAAAGCCCUGGCCACGUUUUCCUCCCACCUGGCCGUUGUGAGCCUCUACUAUGGGCCUGCAUGAUCAUCUACAUGACCCCCACCACUUUCCACACUCCAGAACAGAAUGAAAUACUCGCUAUGAUUAACACCAUCUUUACCCCUAUGCUCAACCCUCUCAUCUACAGCCUGAGGAACAAGGAGGUGCAUGCUGCCCUGAGAAAAGUAAUGAGUCAACGAUUCAUUUUAAAGUAGAAGACCGAUAUGAUGGUGCACCCCUUAAGCCCAGCACUUUGGAGGCAGAAGCAGGCAGGUCUCUGGUCUUCAUAAUGAGCAACCAACCAGAGCAACAUAUAUAAUUCCAAACUGCAUUCAUACUUAUCCUUAUACCCACAAAUAUGUGUAGCUCUCAUCCCUCAUCAAAGAAGCUCCUUCUCUGUGACAAAACAAACUGCAGAGAACCCAGCCCACCAUCAUCUAUAACACAGAUUCCCUACUAAAGCUCAAGGAAUGUUGUUCUGGCAUUUUAAGGGUGAUCCCACCCCAUUCAUAUUCCCUACAACACUGUCAAUGGCCAAUUAAUUAAUAAAUGCUUAAUUAGAACUUGCUCUGUAGCCAACGUUGCCACAUUCUCAGGAAGAUCAUAGGAGCCGCCUCUUAAUUUUCUGUUAAAAAAAAAGAGAGAGAGAGCUAAUGCCUCUAAGUAUGAAGGAUAGUGCAUUUUGGGAGUAUGAAGGAUGCAUUAUGGGAAAGCAGUGAUGCAACAGAAGCUGGGAGCAGUGUGAAAUACUUUGUUGUCCUUUGAGGAGGACAGGAUCCUCCUGAAAUGGCCAUUCAUAGUGGAUGGUGAAUCACAGAAACCAUGACUACAGCUGGUCAGGCUCGUUAAUUUAAAUGAAAUAAGUGUGCAAAAAUGUUGAUCUCCUAGCUCUUUAUCUAAUGCUGUAGCCCCAAACAAGAAAAAAAAAUCCUAUGGACCAG
rnacentral:lncRNA from 1 species